rnacentral:rRNA from 1 species
CCUACGGGUGGCAGCAGUGAGGAAUAUUGGUCAAUGGACGCAAGUCUGAACCAGCCAAGCCGCGUGCAGGAAGAAGGCUCUAUGAAUUGUAAACUUCUUUUGUACGGGAGUAAACUCAGGUACGCGUCUCUGUCUGAGUGUAUCGUAAGAAUAAGGAUCGGCUAACUCCGUGCCAGCAGCCGCGGUAAUACGGAGGAUUCAAGCGUUAUCCGGAUUUAUUGGGUUUAAAGGGUGCGUAGGCGGUCGGAUAAGUUAGAGGUGAAAUCCCGCGGCUCAACUUCGGAAUUGCCUCUGAUACUGUUCGGCUAGAGAGUAGUAGAGGUAGGCGGAAUGCAUGGUGUAGCGGUGAAAUGCGUAGAGAUCACACAGAACACCGAUUGCGAAGGCAGCUUACCAGGCUACUUCUGACGCUGAGGCACGAAAGCGUGGGGAGCAAACAGGAUUAGAUACCCGAGUAGUC